GGCCUCGUAGCUCAGUUGGCUAGAGCGAUGCCUGUACUAAAACCUUCUGGCGUGGGUUCGAAUCCCACCGAGGCCG
rnacentral:tRNA from 1 species